rnacentral:rRNA from 1 species
GUCCUAGCCGUAAACGAUGGGCACUUGGUGUUGGGGGUAUUGAGUCCCUCGGUGCCGGAGUUAACACGUUAAGUGCCCCGCCUGGGGAGUACGGUCGCAAGACUGAAACUCAAAGGAAUUGACGGGGGCCCGCACAAGCGGUGGAGCAUGUGGUUCAAUUCGACGCAACGCGAAGAACCUUACCGGGGCUCGAACGGUAACUGCUAUCCCUAGAAACAGGGAGUUCUCUUCGGAGACGGUUAUCGAGGUGCUGCAUGGCUGUCGU